GACGAAGGGUGCUAGCGUUGUUCGGAAUUACUGGGCGUAAAGCGCGUGUAGGCGGUUAUCCAAGUCGGGUGUGAAAGCCUUGAGCUCAACUCAAGAAAUGCACUCGGUACUGGGUGACUAGAGGACCGGAGAGGAUAGUGGAAUUCCCAGUGUAGUGGUGAAAUACGUAGAGAUUGGGAAGAACACCAGUGGCGAAGGCGGCUAUCUGGACGGUUUCUGACGCUAAGACGCGAAAGCGUGGGGAGCAAACAGG
rnacentral:rRNA from 1 species